rnacentral:tRNA from 1 species
AGGGGUAUAGCCCAGUAGUAGAGCAUGUGCUUGACGUGUGUAAGGUCCUGGGUUCGAUCCCCAGUUCCUCCA